UACGAGGGGGGCAAAUGUUGUUCGGAAUCACUGGGCGUAAAGGGCGCGUAGGCGGCCAGUGCAAGUCAGUUGUGAAAUCUCCGAGCUUAACUCGGAAAGGUCAACUGAUACUGCUCGGCUAGAGUGCGGAAGGGGCAACUGGAAUUCUUGGUGUAGCGGUGAAAUGCGUAGAUAUCAAGAGGAACACCUGCGGCGAAGGCGGGUUGCUGGGCCGACACUGACGCUGAUGCGCGAAAGCUAGGGGAGCGAACGGG
rnacentral:rRNA from 1 species